UGCCUCAGUAACGGCGAGUGAAGCGGCAACAGCUCAAAUUUGAAAUCUGGCCCUAGGCCCGAGUUGUAAUUUGCAGAGGAUGCUUUUGGUGCGGUGCCUUCCAAGUUCCCUAGAACGGGACGCCAGAGAGGGUGAGAGCCCCGUACAGUUGGACACCAAGCCUUUGUAAAGCUCCUUCGACGAGUCGAGUAGUUUGGGAAUGCUGCUCAAAAUGGGAGGUAUAUUUCUUCUAAAGCUAAAUACCGGCCAGAGACCGAUAGCGCACAAGUAGAGUGAUCGAAAGAUGAAAAGCACUUUGAAAAGAGGGUUAAACAGCACGUGAAAUUGUUAAAAGGGAAGCGCUUGUGACCAGACUUGCGUCCGGUGAAUCACCCAGCUCUCGCGGCUGGGGCACUUCGCCGGCUCAGGCCAGCAUCAGCUCGCUGUCGGGGACAAAAGCUUCAGGAACGUAGCUCUCUUCGGGGAGUGUUAUAGCCUGUUGCAUAAUACCCUUCGGCGGGCUGAGGUACGCGCUCCGCAAGGAUGCUGGCAUAAUGGUCAUCAGCGACCCGUCUUGAAACACGGACCAAGGAGUCAACCUUAUGUGCGAGUGUUCGGGUGUCAAACCCCUACGCGUAAUGAAAGUGAACGCAGGUGAGAGCUUCGGCGCAUCAUCGACCGAUCCUGAUGUUCUCGGAUGGAUUUGAGUAAGAGCAUAUAGGGUUGGACCCGAAAGAAGGUGAACUAUGCGUGUAUAGGGUGAAGCCAGAGGAAACUCUGGUGGAGGCUCGCAGCGGUUCUGACGUGCAAAUCGAUCGUCAAAUAUGCGCAUGGGGGCGAAAGACUAAUC
rnacentral:rRNA from 1 species